rnacentral:rRNA from 1 species
UGAAGAGAGAGUAAACAGUGCGUGAAACCGUUCAGAGGUAAACGGGUGGAGUUGUUCUGCGGACCCAGAGAAUUCAGCCGGUGAGUGUCGCUUGAGCUUGGUCAAACAGGUUUGGUGUCUUGGGGUCUGCCGAGAUGCAGGUCUCUGCCUUCGGGUAGGGAUGCGCGAUACACUUACCAAGUGUUGCGCGCCUCAGUGGCAUGUCGAGCCGGCUUGCCGGUGCAUUUUCUCUGGGCGUUCACCACGACCGGCACUGCUGCCUUGCUGUUUUGGUUAAACCGGUCUUGCGUUGUCCUUGUGGCUAUGCAAGGUCGGGAUGGCAGGUAGCCUGUUGGCUUCGUCCUCGGACUUGGCUCUCGGGUGUAAUCAGCUGACCAGGAUGGUUCUGUGUGGCGUGUCGGAGACGGCGGCUUGUAGUGUAACCGUGCGUGCUCUGCCUGCUGACUUGGAAGGGUUUGGUUGCUAUGUUGCUUGUUCUGCAAGCCUGGCGAUGGCCUGACUAUGCUUGGCGGCGGUUGCGUAUGUGACACUAUUUCAGGGCCAAUAGUCCGUGGUGUUGCGGUAGACUUUCCACCUGACCCGUCUUGAAACACGGACCAAGGAGAGUAACAUGUGUGCGAGUCAUUGGGC